rnacentral:rRNA from 1 species
UACGAAGGGGGCUAGCGUUGCUCGGAAUCACUGGGCGUAAAGCGCACGUAGGCGGCUUUUUAAGUCAGAGGUGAAAUCCUGGAGCUCAACUCCAGAACUGCCUUUGAUACUGGAGAGCUUGAGUCCGGGAGAGGUGAGUGGAACUGCGAGUGUAGAGGUGAAAUUCGUAGAUAUUCGCAAGAACACCAGUGGCGAAGGCGGCUCACUGGCCCAUUACUGACGCUGAGGCACGAAAGCGUGGGGAGCAAACAGGG